UACGGAGGGUGCAAGCGUUAUCCGGAUUCACUGGGUUUAAAGGGCGCGUAGGCGGGUUGGUAAGUCCGUGGUGAAAUCUUCAAGCUUAACUUGGAAACUGCCGUUGAUACUAUCAAUCUUGAAUAUUGUGGAGGUAAGCGGAAUAUGUCAUGUAGCGGUGAAAUGCUUAGAUAUGACAUAGAACACCGAUAGCGAAGGCAGCUUGCUACACAGUAAUUGACGCUGAGGCACGAAAGCGUGGGGAUCAAACAGG
rnacentral:rRNA from 1 species